rnacentral:rRNA from 1 species
GAAUUCAACUCCUACGGGAGGCAGCAGUAGGGAAUCUUCGGCAAUGGACGAAAGUCUGACCGAGCAACGCCGCGUGAGUGAAGAAGGUUUUCGGAUCGUAAAACUCUGUUGUUAGAGAAGAACGUUGUGUAGAGUGGAAAAUUACACAAGUGACGGUAUCUAACCAGAAAGGGACGGCUAACUACGUGCCAGCAGCCGCGGUAAUACGUAGGUCCCGAGCGUUGUCCGGAUUUAUUGGGCGUAAAGCGAGCGCAGGUGGUUUAAUAAGUCUGAUGUAAAAGGCAGUGGCUCAACCAUUGUGUGCAUUGGAAACUGUUAGACUUGAGUGCAGUAGAGGAGAGUGGAAUUCCAUGUGUAGCGGUGAAAUGCGUAGAUAUAUGGAGGAACACCGGUGGCGAAAGCGGCUCUCUGGACUGUAACUGACACUGAGGCUCGAAAGCGUGGGUAGCAAACAGGAUUAGAUACCCUAGUAGUCCAGGCGUU